rnacentral:rRNA from 1 species
CCUCCUUUGUUCCUCCUUUUUGCCUCUUGGGCCAUGGGCGCACGCCUGCCCCAGCAACGCCGCGUGAAGGAAGAAGGCUUUCGGGUUGUAAACUUCUUUUGUCAGGGACGAAGCAAGUGACGGUACCUGACGAAUAAGCCACGGCUAACUACGUGCCAGCAGCCGCGGUAAUACGUAGGUGGCAAGCGUUAUCCGGAUUUACUGGGUGUAAAGGGCGUGUAGGCGGGGAGGCAAGUCAGAUGUGAAAACCACGGGCUCAACCUGUGGCCUGCAUUUGAAACUGUUUUUCUUGAGUGCUGGAGAGGCAAUCGGAAGUCCGUGUGUAGCGGUGAAAUGCGUAGAUAUACGGAGGAACACCAGUGGCGAAGGCGGAUUGCUGGACAGUAACUGACGCUGAGGCGCGAAAGCGUGGGGAGCAAACAGGAUUAGAUACCCGAGUAGUC